GAUGAACGCUGGCGGCGUGCCUAAUACAUGCAAGUCGAGCGAACAGACGAGGAGCUUGCUCCUCUGACGUUAGCGGCGGACGGGUGAGUAACACGUGGAUAACCUACCUAUAAGACUGGGAUAACUUCGGGAAACCGGAGCUAAUACCGGAUAAUAUAUUGAACCGCAUGGUUUAAUAGUGAAAGACGGUUUUGCUGUCACUUAUAGAUGGAUCCGCGCGGCAUUAGCUAGUUGGUAAGGUAACGGCUUACCAAGGCAACGAUGCGUAGCCGACCUGAGAGGGUGAUCGGCCACACUGGAACUGAGACACGGUCCAGACUCCUACGGGAGGCAGCAGUAGGGAAUCUUCCGCAAUGGGCGAAAGCCUGACGGAGCAACGCCGCGUGAGUGAUGAAGGUCUUCGGAUCGUAAAACUCUGUUAUUAGGGAAGAACAAAUGUGUAAGUAACUAUGCACGUCUUGACGGUACCUAAUCAGAAAGCCACGGCUAACUACGUG
rnacentral:rRNA from 1 species